AAAAUAGUGUACUGCUGAUGGGCUCUACGCUUGGGCUUUUAUCUUCUUGGCCCAGUAUUGUUGAGUUGUUGUUUGUCUUGUUGUGGGCCUUAUUGUGGCCCAAAUAGUGGGCCGAGUAACAUGUGCAACUUUAUCUUUGAUCACAUAAAGAUAGAGUUGGUGUUUAGUAGCUGCUACUCCCACCACCAUUGACAUUGUUUUAUGUUUCUCCGCAUAGCCAAGUUGUGAGGUUAUCUCUUCUCGCAAGAUAAAAGGCUAAAGAAGUUUUUGCUUAUCAAUACACACUCUACGGACAGUUUACGGUGUAAGCGACAACAAACCAGUUUCAUGAGCAUCGUCUUCCCCAUAUGAAGCUAGUUCUUCUUCAUCCUCACUUCUUUCGGCAAGCUAUAAAUAAGUCUAAAGAUGUUGUACUAAUCUGUGGAGCCAUGCCGGAUAUGACGAAGUUACACCAUCACCGCCUACUUG